UUCCAGGUUCUAAAAGCACACCUCUGAGGAAGAGGCUGCCAGACCAGAAGCACCGUUCCUUCAAUUUCUAGUUUGACGAAUCUCGUUAAUGAUUAGCAGUUCCAGCCCUGGGGGAGCGAAGAAUCCUCCCCCGUCUGCCAGGAGGUGCAGAGCCAGAGCGUGAAGGAGGAGCAGGUUCUCAGUGGAAGUCCCCCCUCAGAUGCUACGUUGGACAUCCACAUCAGGUGCUUCUACAAAAAAAGCUGACCACCCUCCAUCCAGAAAUUAUUGAAUUCUUGGUGA